rnacentral:rRNA from 1 species
UACAGAGGUCCCAAGCGUUGUUCGGAUUCAUUGGGCGUAAAGGGUGCGUAGGCGGCGCGGUAAGUCGGGUGUGAAGUCUCGGGGCUUAACUCCGAAACUGCAUUCGAUACUGCCGUGCUUGAGGACUGGAGAGGAGACUGGAAUUUACGGUGUAGCGGUGAAAUGCGUAGAUAUCGUAAGGAAGACCAGUGGCGAAGGCGGGUCUCUGGACAGUUCCUGACGCUGAGGCACGAAGGCCAGGGGAGCAAACGGG